rnacentral:rRNA from 1 species
UACGAAGGGGGCUAGCGUUGUUCGGAAUUACUGGGCGUAAAGCGCGCGCAGGCGGUCUUCCAAGUCAGUGGUGAAAGCCCGGAGCUCAACUCCGGAACUGCCAUUGAAACUGUAAGACUUGGAGGAUGAGAGAGGUGAGUGGAAUUCCCAGUGUAGAGGUGAAAUUCGUAGAUAUCGGGAGGAACACCAGUGGCGAAGGCGGCUUCCUGGCCUGUUCUUGACGCUGAGGCGCGAAAGCUAGGGGAGCAAACGGG